UAGAGGGAUUAAAUGUUGAGUGGGAGUGGCUUAAUGGGGUGUGGCUUUGGGGGAGUUUCCUAUUGGCCAGAAGGUUGGUGGGAGGAGCUUAAGGGGGUCAGGUUUGAAAGAGGAGGAGUUUAAAGGAGGUGUGGCUUAGAGAGAGGUUCCUAUUGGUCAGAAGAGUGGUGGGAGGAGCUUAAAGGGGUCCGGUUUGAAAGAGGAGGAGCUUAAAGUGGGAAGGGCUUAGAGGGUUGUCCCUAUUGGUCAGAAGGGUGGUGGGAGGGGCUUAAAGGUGUGGAGACGGAAAGGGGAGGGGCCUAAAGGUGUAGUGACGUAGAAGAAUGUUCUCAUUGGUGAGAAAGACGAUGGGAGGGGCUUAAAUGGGUGGGGUUUGAAAGAGGAGGAGCUUAAAGGAGGUGUGGCUUAGGGAGAGGUUCCUAUUGGCUAGAAGGGUGAUGGGAGGGGCAUAAAGACACAAAACCCCAAGUGGGUGGGGCUUAAAUAACCUAUUUAGCAAGGAGUGAUUAGGGAUUGGCUGGCAGGAAUAGUGAGGGUGUGGCUGAGCUCAGGUGGGUGUGGCUUAGCCUAGGUGGGCGUGGCCAACCCCAGGUGGGCGUGUCCGUGUCCCGCAGGUGUCGGAGGCGCUGUCGGAGCUUGGCCCCGCCCUCCAGGAGCCGCUGGCCCGGGGUCACCCCGGGGUCAUCCUGGCCCUGCUGGGGGCGGCCCUGAGGCACCCCCGGCUCCAGGGGGAGGCGCUCCGGAGCCUCUUCCAGGCUUUGCGCUGCUGGGCCCCGCCCCACCACCCCCAUUGCGUCACCGCCCUGGCCCAGCUCCGCCCCCUGGAGGGCGGGGACAGCGGCAAGGAGGCGGAGCCUGAGGUAAAGGGGGCGGGGCUUUGCUGGUGGUCUAAAGUGGGUGGGGCUUAAGAGGGUGAGGUCAUCGGGAGUGGCCUGGGAAGGGGUGGGGUUAAAUGGGUGGGGCUUGAAAGGGCGGGGCUUAAAGGGGUUGUGGUUUCCACGGGUUUUUUAAUUAUUUGUUUUUAACUUGAUUUUUUCCCCAUUUCCCCCCUUUUU
rnacentral:lncRNA from 1 species